GGCUAACGCUGGCGGCGUGUCUUAGCCAUGCAAGUCGAGCGGACUUAUGGGGUAACUUAUAAGUCAGCGGCGGACGGCGGAGUAACACGUAGCUAACCUACCCUCUGGACGGGGAUAACCUACCGAAAGGUGGGCUAAUACCCGAUGUAGUCAUCCUGUAUAGGGGUGAUGAAAGGUGGGCUUCUGUUUACAAGCUCAUGCUGGAGGAGGGGGCUGCGGCCUAUCAGGUAGUUGGUAGGGUAAUAGCCUACCAAGCCGAUGACGGGUAGCCGGCCUGAGAGGGUGACCGGCCCGAGGGGCACUGAGAUACGGGUCCCACUCCUACGGGAGGCAGCAGGCUAGAAAUUUGGGCAAUGGGGGAAACCCUGACCCAGUGACGCCGCGUGCAGGAAGGAGCCCUUCGGGGUGUAAAACUGCUGUCGUGUAGGGAGAAGGGUACUAAGGUGAACAAUCUUAGUACUUGACGGUACUACAGGAGGAAGCCCAGGCUAACCUCGUGCCAGCAGCCGCGGUAAACCAGUAUAGUCU
rnacentral:rRNA from 1 species